UGCCGGUGUUUUAUUCGUAUGCGUUCCACCUCUUCCCAUUCCGAACAGAGAAGUUAAAGCGUACGAACUCGAUGAUACUUAAGCCUCCGGGUUUUGGGAAAGUAGAGUACGCCGGCAU
rnacentral:rRNA from 1 species